rnacentral:tRNA from 1 species
UCCCAGGUAGCUCAGCGGUAGAGCAAUCGGCUGUUAACCGAUUGGUCGUCGGUUCCCCCGGACUCCGAUCCGGGGCGACCCUGGGAGCCA